rnacentral:rRNA from 1 species
AGACGGAGGGGGCUAGCGUUGUUCGGAAUUACUGGGCGUAAAGGGCGCGUAGGCGGCACUGCAAGUCAGGCGUGAAAGACCCGGGCUCAACCUGGGAGGUGCGCUUGAGACUGCGGAGCUGGAGUCCGGGAGAGGUGAGUGGAAUUCCCAGUGUAGAGGUGAAAUUCGUAGAUAUUGGGAAGAACACCAGUGGCGAAGGCGGCUCACUGGCCCGGCACUGACGCUGAGGCGCGAAAGCGUGGGGAGCAAACAGGAUUAGAUACCCCGGUAGUCC